rnacentral:rRNA from 1 species
ACGCUGGGCGAUGGCAUGAGUGCCCGCUUCUGGGAAGAUAGGUGGCUGGAAGGCUUCACAGUCCAGGAUGUUGCCCCAUCCAUAUAUGCUGUCGUUGAUGCCAAUGUGCGGGCCUCUCGGACGAUUCACCAGGCUAUUUCAACGGAGGACUGGGCCUUGGACAUUGGUCCCGACCUCUCCAGCGAGCAGCUAAGUGAAUACAUGAAUCUGUGGGAUAAGGUUACCAGCACGGCGCUCAGGCCGGACGAGCUAGACCGCACCACUUAG